CCCUCCUCCUGGCAGGUGACAGGGCUGACCAGCCACUGGCCUCUGGUGGGUGCUCGGGCCCAUGUGCCCACCUGCCUUGACCCAUCUGCCACACAGAGGGAGAGGCAGGAGACAGUGUCAUAGAGGAUGGAAGCCCACAGUAGGGUCUAGGACACCUGACCGUCUACCCCGGCCAGCCUUCCUCACCAGGCCCACCUGUGAACGCCCCUUGUCUCUCCGACCCUUGGAUUCUUCAUCUGUGAAAUGGAGCCGGUUUGUGAACGGAGGUCAAAGAGGGAGAGGGGAUAGAACAAUAGUUCUUAAGCAAAGUGUCUAGAAAUCUCCUCGUUUUUCAA